rnacentral:rRNA from 1 species
UACGUAGGGUGCAAGCGUUGUCCGGAAUUAUUGGGCGUAAAGAGCUCGUAGGCGGUCUGUCGCGUCUGCUGUGAAAACUCAGGGCUUAACCCUGAGCUUGCAGUGGGUACGGGCAGACUAGAGUGCGGUAGGGGAGACUGGAAUUCCUGGUGUAGCGGUGAAAUGCGCAGAUAUCAGGAGGAACACCGGUGGCGAAGGCGGGUCUCUGGGCCGUAACUGACACUGAGAAGCGAAAGCAUGGGGAGCGAACAGG